ACAAGUUGGCAUCAGUUGAAGGUGAGAGGCGAAAGAUCAAAAAGAGACCUGAGGGGCCACUUUUUCACAUAGGGUGUUGGGUAUGUAAACUGCUAGAAGAAGAUGUAGAGGUGGUUACAAUUACAAUGUUUAAAAUACAUUCAGACAUUACAUGGAUAGGGUCAAUUUAGAGGCAGAUGGGCCAAAU